AGUGAACGCUGGCGGUAGGCCUAGCACAUGCAAGUCGAACGGCAGCACAGUAAGAGCUUGCUCUUACGGGUGGCGAGUGGCGGACGGGUGAGGAAUACAUCGGAAUCUACUUUUUCGUGGGGGAUAACGUAGGGAAACUUACGCUAAUACCGCAUACGACCUACGGGUGAAAGCAGGGGAUCUUCGGACCUUGCGCGAUUGAAUGAGCCGAUGUCGGAUUAGCUAGUUGGCGGGGUAAAGGCCCACCAAGGCGACGAUCCGUAGCUGGUCUGAGAGGAUGAUCAGCCACACUGGAACUGAGACACGGUCCAGACUCCUACGGGAGGCGGCAGUGGGGAAUAUUGGACAAUGGGCGCAAGCCUGAUCCAGCCAUACCGCGUGGGUGAAGAAGGCCUUCGGGUUGUAAAGCCCUUUUGUUGGGAAAGAAAAGCAGCAGGUUAAUACCCCGCUGUUCUGACGGUACCCAAAGAAUAAGCACCGGCUAACUUCGUG
rnacentral:rRNA from 1 species